CACGUAGGGCGCGAGCGUUUGUCCGGAAUUAUUGGGCGUAAAGAGCUCGUAGGCGGCCUGUUGCGUCCGCUGUGAAAGCCCGGGGCUUAACCCCGGGUCUGCAGUGGAUACGGGCAGGCUAGAGGUAGGUAGGGGAGAUUGGAAUUCCUGGUGUAGCGGUGGAAUGCGCAGAUAUCAGGAGGAACACCAUGCGAAGGCAGAUCUCUGGGCCGUAACUGACGCUGAGGAGCGAAAGCGUGGGGAGCGAACAGG
rnacentral:rRNA from 1 species